rnacentral:rRNA from 1 species
CAGUAGCCGCGGGAAUACGAAGGGGGCUAGCGUUGCUCGGAAUGACUGGGCGUAAAGGGCGCGUAGGCGGAUGGUACAGUCAGAUGUGAAAUUCCUGGGCUUAACCUGGGGGCUGCAUUUGAUACGUAUUGUCUAGAGUGAGGAAGAGGGUCGUGGAAUUCCCAGUGUAGAGGUGAAAUUCGUAGAUAUUGGGAAGAACACCGGUGGCGAAGGCGGCGACCUGGUCCUUGACUGACGCUGAGGCGCGAAAGCGUGGGGAGCAAAUGGGAUUAGAUACCCCUGUAGUCCCUGUCUCUUAUAC